CACCCGGCUGCUGUCCUCAGGGCGCGGCCGGAGCCCGAGCCAGAGCGGAGGAGAGGGUCGAGCGCCGGUUCCCUUUCUCUCCCCCCCUUCCCAGAGAAUGGAGCCUUCCCGCUCCCUCCUUCACCGGCUGAAAAGUCUCUUGUCGCGACGUUCCAAAGCAGAACGGAGGGGGGCUGGACGUUCCACCCGGGAGGCGGAGGACGAGGGGGCUGCGGGGGGCGCCGCCGCCGCCGCCGGUCCCCUCGAAGUCCGGGUGAUCUACGCCGGCCGUCGCUGAACCUACGGCCUGUGCGCUAGGUACCUCGAGACGGAACUCGAGAAAGAAUUUCCGGGCAAGCUGGAAAUAAGACUUGACAGGGCUCCCGGGUUCACAGGAUGGUUCGAAGUGUUUGUCGGAGGGAAGCUGGUGCAUUCCAAGGAGAACGGAGAUGGCUUCGUGAGAAACCCCGAGAAGCUGCAGAAGGUCAUCAUGGCGGUACGAGAAGCCUUGGCGUAAAGAUGGCUGGGAGAAGGCACCCGACAGACCACUAGACAGCAGAGUUCAAAGAAGAAUCUGCUUUGUUCAUUCUAGCGGCACGCUUCAUGAUGGGAACGGCUGAAAUGUCACCCGGCGCGUGGCUGUUCCCUGAAAAACCUUGCGUGGGAUGCUGGCUUGACCACAGUCCAACGGGCAUCUGAACGCUGAAUAUUAUAUGCUUUGACACCUCUGUGCUUUGCAGCGUAGCUACACCUCUGGGGUUGUAUCUUCUGUGUAUGGUCCCUGUGAUGCCGGCUUUCUCUGUAGUCAGGUUUACAUGCGAUGCUGGCUUUCUGUGUAGUCGGGUUUACACGUGAUGCUGCCUUUCUAUGUAGUCGGCAGGGCUAUUUUUGGGCAGGAACGCACAGGAACGGAGUUCCGGGUGGCUCCCGAGUU